rnacentral:snoRNA from 15 species
GUGCAGGAUAAGUUACAAUGCAGCUUGUGUGGUACUGCGUUGUCGUUCCCCCUGCAAACAGUAAUCUGUUUCCUCACUAUACCUGUCAUGUCAAUUCCCUUGACUGCCAGGGACGUAAGGUUUCAGACAC